rnacentral:lncRNA from 1 species
AACAGCUGCAUGUAAUAGUCCAUGACAGAUUUACCGUUGAAGAAGGUGAACAAUGAAGAACAAAUGAAGUUGAUGGGAUGGCUAGAACAUUGUAAGAUGGUCAAAACAAAAAGAACACCGUUGAGGGCUCAGUGGAAGGAAAUUUCCUUGUCUCAGGUUUUUCUUUUGUCCAGCCACCUCUCUAAACUGUUUGACUUCUGCAGUUGUUUUUCAGGGGGAAGAGAAUACUGAGAUGGAUUUAAUGAAAUUACAUUUUCCAAGAAGCCUCUUGAACAGAAUGAAGUUCUUCAUUUGCCACUAAACUUUCCUCCUUGACUGAGCUCACUGAUGGUUUCUUUAAUAUGCAGAGAAAGGAUCUCCUUCUGCCAUGAACCUGAGGGGCAUUAGCUGAGUAGUUGUUGCAUCUGGGAGGAGCUGAAGAAGACGCUGGUGUCACAGGGUUGCUUUCAUACAUAUUUGGAAUAACCAGGACAGACUGGAAAGAAUGAAUAAAAACAAGCAAUAUGGUUACUACAAUCCUAUGCAAUUUCCCCUGGUACCAUCAGAGUGAAGGACAAAGAGCAUUCUGUAUCAUCAAAUGCUUGUUCCAGAGGAGUGUGAAUUUAUUUUGGAUUUUCUUUAAAAUGCCAGAAGUCUUUCCUUUUGGUAAGUAGGCUAUUUUGUUUAGAAAUAUUAGAAAGAAGGUAGUUUUUUUCCUUUGUGAUGGCCUCGUUGUUUUUUUUAAUACAAAUGUUACUACUCAUUAAAAAAGUCAAGCAAUACAGAAACCAACGGAUCAUUCCAAAUGCCAGUGUUUAGAAAUAACCAAAAUUAAUGUUUGAUGACUAUUAUCCUAGCUCUCUGUGUACAGG